rnacentral:tRNA from 1 species
GAAUAAGAAGCGAACUAUUGCAUUCAGUUUCGACCUGAAAAUCUGGUAUUUAAUUUACCCUUAUUCU